AAUGAACGUUGGCGGCGUGGAUUAGGCAUGCAAGUCGAGCGGAAAGGCCCGCAAGGGUACUCAAGCGGCGAAAGGGAGAGUAACACGUAGGUUACCUACCCUCCGACCCGGGAUAGCUGAGGGAAACUUCAGGUAAUACCGGAUAACGUCUCCGGACCAAAGGUGUGAUUCCGUCGGGGGAGGGGCCUGCGUCCUAUUAGCUUGUUGGGGAGGUAACGGCUCACCAGGGCAAAGAUGGGUACGGGGUGGGAGAGCAUGCCCCCGCUCACCGGGACUGAGGCACUGCCCAGACGCCUACGGGUGGCGGCAGUGGAGGAGCUUCGGCAAUGGGCGCAAGCCUGACCGCGCGACGCCGCGUGCGGGAUGAAGGCCUUCGGGUUGUAAACCGCUGUCAGGGGGGAGGAAAUGCUACGGGGUUCUCCCCGUAGUUUGACCUAGCCUCAGAGGAAGUACGGGCUAAGUUCGUGCCAGCCGCCGCGGUAAAAC
rnacentral:rRNA from 1 species